rfam:Penicillium antarcticum strain IBT 31811 PENANT_contig032, whole genome shotgun sequence.
GGGCGGCUGGCCUAAUGGUAAGGCGCUUGUUUUCGGCGAUAGAUCUUCCGAAAGGAUCCUCUAUGGAAUACACAAGAGAUUGCAGGUUCGAUCCCUGCGUCGCUCA